ensembl:lncRNA
GGAAGCCUGAAUGUAAUCAUGUUAGGAAUGCUCCCUUUCCCCUCCCGUUUAAUCUAAGCAUUAUGUAUGACAUUAUCCUCAGAGUAGAAGGCAGCAACCCCGCAGACCACUUAGGCACAGACGUCGCCUUUAACACAUAACUGUUCCUGCUGAGGUCGGUGGCAGCACUUGCAUGUUUAAAGUUACACAUACUUAAAUGCUUUGUUAGGUCACCAGCUAAUUUAAGAACAGAGAAGCUCAGCUUCGGAAGAGAAAAACAGGUUAACAAUACUAAAGUUGCAGCAAAUGUGUAGGAAAACUGGAAUAGGUUCAUCAUUAGUGAAUCUACACUAUUCAAAGUAAAUAUUUCACCUUUUAUUUUAUUCCAUUUUCCCCCCAAUUCUGCCUGUGGACUAUGGUUUCUGGCUAAGGAAAAGACUGAAGACACCUACAAAUCAGUGCCAGAGCCCUAUAGCAGCCACCGGGAGCCUGCACCACACACCUGUAUCUUCCCAUACAGUCUUAUCCGAGGUGCCAGACUCAUAUGGAGACAGCCCAGGUUAGUCUCGUGAGGACAGCGAUCUGAACUGAACAGAGCUCAUGUGUUCCACUUAUAACACAGCCCUUGUGCACGAAUAAAGGUUUCCAG